CCUUGACCAAGGAAAGUUGGAUUUGUUGAGAGGACCUGAUCUCAAAUGAGAUCAUGCACAAGACGCACCUCGCAAAGGCCAUGACAGUAUAGUUUUCAGACCUGAUCAGCUGGUGACUGCUCUAUGAAGUGCUGUUCAACCUCCCCUAAGGGGGAGAUUCGAGAGGGUCUCCUGAUUGCUGAACACUACGCCAUGGUUGUUGUCAUCUCCAAAAAGUUUGCCCUGCCCAUAUCAACAGUGGAAGAGAACAUGAGUUGGGCCUUGAGAAGGCUUCGUGUCAUGUACUGCGGGGAGAAUAUAUAAACUGUUUAGUGCUGAGCAAUAUGUUCCUUUGUUCAUAGGUGUAAAUAUGUGUAAAGGGCUAUUCCAGGAAAAGAUAGGAUGAAGGAUUCCUUAAUGUUGUCAUUUUAUAAAUCCGGUACCACCAACACAGUUAAAAACAAUUAUUAUUAAUUUUAUCCUCUGUAUCACCCCUCACUAACUGAAACUGUAUAUAAUCAUGGUUCAUACCCUUCCUCCCAUUUUUACCUGUGGUAGCCCAAAGAGGAGAAUGUUUUAAUUUAUUAUGU